GGAGGUAUAGCUCAGCAGCAGAGUAUUUGCCUAGAAGCUAAAGGACCUGGGUUUUAAUCCCAGCACUCCA
rnacentral:tRNA from 1 species